GGACAGCAUUGUCGUAAUUUGCAAAUUCUAAGGCGAAAUCUCAUGACUCAGGUUAAUCCGUCCCAACAAGAACCCUUUGUCCCGAGGGAGUACGUAGAUACCUGUCCUCAAGAUGGCGAUUCAGAAGCUGCUGCAAUAGGGAAAUUCAUGGCACAACUCGUGCAACUUGAACUACAAUUCUCCAAAUUGACUAAUAAAGGUCUAGCUUUGAUAUCUGAAGGAUGUAUAAACCUCGAGCAUUUGGAUCUCUUUGGGUGUACUAAUGUUACUAGCCGGGAUAUUGCUAAUGCCUCGUCGAAUCUGAAGCAGUUGAAAACCUUGAAGAAGCCUACUCAACUCUGCUUAGAAUCUCAAACAGAGAGGUACGGGCAUUGGCAACUGUAUGAUGAUCGUUUCCAGACGGACUCUUUCCGAAUUUAAUCAGGUGAAAAAUCAGCGGUAUGUUGUUAUUCA
rnacentral:misc_RNA from 1 species